UGGAAGCAAUAAUUUAGAACAAAAAAUACUUUGAGAUUUCUUGUUACUCAACAUUUUCAAUGAACCUUUAAAUUGAAUGUAAUUAUUUACCUACAAAAAGGGGGCCAUACCAUGCAAUCUUUCAAUUGCAUACACUGUUUUAACGCUGAGCUUUUCCUCUGCUGAGGCUUCCUGGAGCAGCAGAGGACGGAUUGGGCGGCGAGUAGGAAGGUAUUUUACAACAUUCAAAGAUUGCAAUGUAGUGUAAAACCAAGACAAAUGGAACAAAUGAAGAUAGCGAAACAAGCAAUUGCACUCAAACAUGCUUAGCUUUGACAAUUGAAUUUAAGAGAAGGAAACAUUCUUUCCUGCAGACCCCUCUGACAGGGACUCUGAUCCUUCAAGCACAAAGGGUCAGACAAAGGAAGCCAAAUGGCCUAUUAUUCCACCAACCAAAUUGAGGAAUGGUCAAGAAAUAUUUAAUCAUAUUGGGUGAAAUUUAUUAAACAGCGAAUGGGGCCGCUUGGUGUAAAAAAGAUAAAAACAUUUGUACAAUCAUCCUUUUGUGCAAAAAUGUGCAAUUUUUUGGCCCCUUUACUUAAAGUCUGCCACUCUUGCGUUUAAUUAUAUUGAUAUCUAUGCCAGCUCUGCACUAAUGCCUCAAAUCCAGCACAGCUGCUACAUGCUGGGCUUUUAUACGUGUCAUUUAUAGGUCAAAGAGACAUCAAAAAGACUCGAACGGUCUGAUCACAGGUCUGAGACACCUCAUUCAUUAAAAAAAGUAAGAAAUCAUUGCUUUAUCUCCAUAGCUCGCGGCUAUAAAGAUUGUUUUUUCUUUUUUUUUUAUUGACAGCUAUACUUUAAGACCAGCAUACAAAAAGGAUACUAGGGGUAACAAUGAAUAUUUAAUGGGAAAGUUUGUCAUAGCACGUGUAAAAUUACGUAAAGGUUUGCGAAAAUGUGCAUAGACCGUUAAAAAUGGUCACAAUUGGUAGACUAGCUGCGAAUGUAAAAGUAAGUUUAACAUAUGUGCACAGAAAAGGCUGUGUAAAUAGGGCAAAUUUACUUUAGUGUGUCUAAAUAGCAUAAGGUCUCAAACCAAUCCCUUAUUCAUAGUAAACAUGUUUGUCUGGACUAAAAAGCCAUAUUUAUCUAUAUACACACCGAUUGUCUGAUCAUCUUGAAUACAAAGAGUUAAAAAGUACCCAUCACCAAAUAAACUGUUCUCAACUAC